rnacentral:rRNA from 1 species
CCUACGGGUGGCAGCAGUCGAGAAUCAUUCACAAUGGGGGAAACCCUGAUGGUGCGACGCCGCGUGGGGGAAUGAAGGUCUUCGGAUUGUAAACCCCUGUCAUGUGGGAGCAAAUUAAAAAGAUAGUACCACAAGAGGAAGAGACGGCUAACUCUGUGCCAGCAGCCGCGGUAAUACAGAGGUCUCAAGCGUUGUUCGGAAUCACUGGGCGUAAAGGGUGCGUAGGCUGUUUCGUAAGUCGUGUGUGAAAGGCGCGGGCUCAACCCGCGGACGGCACAUGAUACUGCGAGACUAGAGUAAUGGAGGGGGAAGCGGAAUUCGCGGUGUAGCAGUGAAAUGCGUAGAUAUCGAGAGGAACACUCGUGGCGAAGGCGGGUUCCUGGACAUUAACUGACGCUGAGGCACGAAGGCCUGGGGAGCGAAAGGGAUUAGAUACCCGAGUAGUC